UACAGAGGGUGCAAGCGUUGUUCGGAAUUAUUGGGCGUAAAGCGCGUGUAGGCGGCUUUGCAAGUCGGGUGUGAAAGCCCUCGGCUCAACCGAGGAGGUGCGCCCGAAACUGCAGAGCUUGAGUGCCGGAGAGGAUGGCGGAAUUCCCCAAGUAGAGGUGAAAUUCGUAGAUAUGGGGAGGAACACCGGUGGCGAAGGCGGCCAUCUGGACGGUGACUGACGCUGAGACGCGAAAGCGUGGGGAGCAAACAGG
rnacentral:rRNA from 1 species